rnacentral:rRNA from 1 species
GACGAACGCUGGCGGCGUGCUUAACACAUGCAAGUCGAACGGAGAGGCCCUGCUUUUGUGGGGUGCUCGAGUGGCGAACGGGUGAGUAACACGUGAGUAACCUGCCCUUGACUUUGGGAUAACUUCAGGAAACUGGGGCUAAUACCGGAUAGGAGCUCCUGCUGCAUGGUGGGGGUUGGAAAGUUUCGGCGGUUGGGGAUGGACUCGCGGCUUAUCAGCUUGUUGGUGGGGUAGUGGCUUACCAAGGCUUUGACGGGUAGCCGGCCUGAGAGGGUGACCGGCCACAUUGGGACUGAGAUACGGCCCAGACUCCUACGGGAGGCAGCAGUGGGGAAUAUUGCACAAUGGGCGGAAGCCUGAUGCAGCAACGCCGCGUGCGGGAUGGCGGCCUUCGGGUUGUAAACCGCUUUCGCCUGUGACGAAGCGUGAGUGACGGUAAUGGGUAAAGAAGCACCGGCUAACUACGUG